rnacentral:rRNA from 1 species
UACGGAGGGUGCAAGCGUUAUCCGGAUUCACUGGGCUUAAAGGGCGCGUAGGCGGGCCGCCAAGUUCGAGGUGAAAUCCUCCGGCUCAACCGGAGAACUGCCUCGAAUACUGGAGGCCUCGAGGCGGGUAGGGGCGUGCGGAACUGUGGGUGGAGCGGUGAAAUGCUUAGAUAUGACAUAGAACACCAAUUGCGAAGGCAGCUCGCUACUCAAUUAUUGACUCUGAGGCACGAAAGCGUGGGGAUCAAACAGG